GCGGUGACAGAAGUGUAAAAAGUCGUCUAGAUAGCGAGUUUAAUCUCCCCGAAUAACACACGGCUAAAAAUGGUCUUAACUUGAAGACAAAUGUAUCUUCUUUAUUUUUUGCCCUGUCGUCAGAAGUUCGUAUGGUCACAUUUUUCUAAAAAGUCGUUUUAAUGACUAGUAGUAUAUUGAAAUGUUUCAACCCCCCUUUUUCAAAAUGAAAAUUUGAACAUAUUUGUUUACAUUUAAUUGAUAUAUUUUUUUCUUAAGUUAUUAUCAUAUGUCGAACUAUUAUGUUCAGUAUUUUAU
rnacentral:lncRNA from 1 species